rnacentral:rRNA from 1 species
GACGAACGCUGGCGGCGCGCUUAACACAUGCAAGUCGAGCGAGAACCAGGGCUUCGGCCCUGGGGACAGCGGCGAACGGGUGAGUAACACGUGGAUAACCUGCCCUCGGCACCGGGAUAGCCCGGGGAAACCCGGAUUAAUACCGGAUGGCCCUUCCGGAUCACGAGCCGGUCGGAAAAGGUAGCUUCGGCCUCCGGCCGAGGCUGGGUCCGCGGCGGAUUAGCUUGUUGGUGGGGUAACGGCCCACCAAGGCUCCGAUCCGUAUCUGGUCUGAGAGGACGAUCAGCCACACUGGGACUGAGACACGGCCCAGACUCCUACGGGAGGCAGCAGUGGGGAAUCUUGCGCAAUGGGCGAAAGCCUGACGCAGCGACGCCGCGUGAGGGAGGAAGGCCUUCGGGUUGUAAACCUCUUUCAGGAGGGACGAAGCCACUCGGGUGAAUAGCCCAGAGGGUGACGGUACCUCCAGAAGAAGCCCCGGCUAACUACGUGCCAGCCGCCGCCGUAAGAC